rnacentral:rRNA from 1 species
AGAGUUUGAUCCUGGCUCAGGAUGAACGCUGGCGGCGUGCUUAACACAUGCAAGUCGAACGAUCCUUCGGGAUAGUGGCGGACGGGUGAGUAACGCGUGGGAAUCUGCCCUCAGGAGGGGGAUAACGGCUGGAAACGGCCGCUAAUACCCCAUAUGCCGAGAGGUGAAAUGAAUUUCGCCUGAGGAUGAGCCCGCGUCUGAUUAGCUAGUUGGUGGGGUAAAGGCCUACCAAGGCAACGAUCAGUAGCUGGUCUGAGAGGAUGAUCAGCCACACUGGGACUGAGACACGGCCCAGACUCCUACGGGAGGCAGCAGUGGGGAAUUUUCCGCAAUGGGCGAAAGCCUGACGGAGCAACGCCGCGUGAGGGAUGAAGGCCUCUGGGCUGUAAACCUCUUUUCUCAAGGAAGAAGACCUGACGGUACUUGAGGAAUAAGCCACGGCUAAUUCCGUCCCAGCAGCCGCGGUAAUACGGGAGUGGCAAGCGUUAUCCGGAAUUAUUGGGCGUAAAGCGUCCGCAGGCGGCCUUGUAAGUCUGUUGUUAAAGCGUGGAGCUCAACUCCAUUUAAGCAAUGGAGACUACAAGGCUGGAGUGUGGUAGGGGCAGAGGGAAUUCCCGGUGUAGCGGUGAAAUGCGUAGAUAUCGGGAAGAACACCAGUGGCGAAGGCGCUCUGCUGGGCCAUAACUGACGCUCAUGGACGAAAGCCAGGGGAGCGAAAGGGAUUAGAUACCCCUGUAGUCCUGGCCGUAAACGAUGAACACUAGGUGUCGGGGGAAUCGACCCCCUCGGUGUCGUAGCCAACGCGUUAAGUGUUCCGCCUGGGGAGUACGCACGCAAGUGUGAAACUCAAAGGAAUUGACGGGGGCCCGCACAAGCGGUGGAGUAUGUGGUUUAAUUCGAUGCAACGCGAAGAACCUUACCAGGGUUUGACAUCCUGCGAACCCCUGAGAAAUCGGGGGGUGCCUUCGGGAGCGCAGAGACAGGUGGUGCAUGGCUGUCGUCAGCUCGUGUCGUGAGAUGUUGGGUUAAGUCCCGCAACGAGCGCAACUCACGUCUUUAGUUGCCAGCAUUCAGUUGGGCACUCUAGAGAGACCGCCGGUGAUAAACCGGAGGAAGGUGUGGAUGACGUCAAGUCAUCAUGCCCCUUACAUCCUGGGCUACACACGUACUACAAUGCUACGGACAAAGGGCAGCAAGCUCGCGAGAGUUAGCAAAUCCCAUAAACCGUGGCUCAGUUCAGAUCGUAGGCUGCAACUCGCCUACGUGAAGGAGGAACCGCUAGUAAUCGCAGGUCAGCAUACUGCGGUGAAUACGUUCCCGGGCC